GCCGGGAUGGCGGAAUUGGCAGACGCAAGGGACUUAAAAUCCCUCGUCCCUAAAGGAUGUGCCGGUUCGACUCCGGCUCCCGGCACCA
rnacentral:tRNA from 1 species